UACGUAGGGGGCAAGCGUUGUCCGGAUUUAUUGGGCGUAAAGAGCGUGUAGGCGGUUAGGUAGGUCCGUUGUGAAAACUCGAGGCUCAACCUCGAGACGCCGAUGGAAACCAUCUAACUAGAGUCCGGAAGAGGAGAGUGGGAAUUCCUGGUGUAGCGGUGAAAUGCGCAGAUAUCAGGAAGAACACCCGUGGCUAAGGCGGCUCUCUAGUACGGUACUGACGCUGAGACGCGAAAGCGUGGGGAGCAAACAGG
rnacentral:rRNA from 1 species